CUGCUCUCCUCUCACAGGUAAAGCUCCACCUGGGCUCAAGACAGGGACACAUCUCAGGAGCACAGAGGACCUGGGCAGCCUGACCCCAGCCUCUCCAGAUAUCAGAAGAGCCUCACCCACAUGCAAAUCCCUCCUCCUGCUCUGGGUUCAAAGGCCCUCUGGGCUGUGGGAGCUCCCAGCUCUCUGCUCAGACAGGGCUGAGGUCUCUGGGAAGGCAGGUGUGGUCUAGAAGAUGAGGCUGCUGGGUCUUGUCCUGUGCCUGGUCACAGCUCUCCAAGGUGAGUGUCCCCAGUGUCAGACCUGGGUCCAUGGGGAGGUUGUGACUACAGGUGACUAACAGGGUGUGGCUGUCCUUGUCCCCAGGGGUCCUGUGCCAGGUGCAGCUGAAGGAGUCAGGACCUGGCCUGGUGAAGCCCUCACAGACCCUGUCCCUCACCUGUGCUGUCUCUGGUUACUCCAUCACCAGUGGUUAUGGCUGGAAUUGGAUUCGUCAGCCCCCAGGGAAGGGGCUGGAGUGGAUAGGGUACAUAUGUAGUAGUGGUAGCACUUACUACAGCCCAUCCCUCAAGAGCCGAGUGUCCAUCUCCAGAGACACGUCCAAGAACCAGUUCUCCCUGCAGCUGAGCUCCCUGACCACUGAGGACACAGCCACCUAUUACUGUGC
rnacentral:lncRNA from 1 species